rnacentral:rRNA from 1 species
GGUCAAGUUAUUAAGGGUGCAGGGCGGAUGCCUUGGCACUAGGAGCCGAUGAAGGACGUGAUAAGCUGCGAUAAGCUUCGGGGAGUUGCACGUAAACUUUGAUCCGAAGAUUUCCGAAUGAGGAAACUCACUUAGAGUAAUGUCUAAGUAUCAUUAAGUGAAUACAUAGCUUAAUGAGGGGAACUCAGGGAACUGAAACAUCUAAGUACCUGAAGGAAGAGAAAGAAAUUCGAUUCCGUA